GAUGAACGCUGGCGGCGUGCCUAAUACAUGUAAGUCGAGCGAACAGACGAGGAGCUUGCUCCUCUGACGUUAGCGGCGGACGGGUGAGUAACACGUGGAUAACCUACCUAUAAGACUGGGAUAACUUCGGGAAACCGGAGCUAAUACCGGAUAAUAUAUUGAACCGCAUGGUUCAAUAGUGAAAGACGGUUUUGCUGUCACUUAUAGAUGGAUCCGCGCCGCAUUAGCUAGUUGGUAAGGUAACGGCUUACCAAGGCAACGAUGCGUAGCCGACCUGAGAGAGUGAUCGGCCACACUGGAACUGAGACACGGUCCAGACUCCUACGGGAGGCAGCAGUAGGGAAUCUUCCGCAAUGGGCGAAAGCCUGACGGAGCAACGCCGCGUGAGUGAUGAAGGUCUUCGGAUCGUAAAACUCUGUUAUUAGGGAAGAACAAAUGUGUAAGUAACUAUGCACGUCUUGACGGUACCUAAUCAGAAAGCCACGGCUAACUACGUG
rnacentral:rRNA from 1 species